rnacentral:rRNA from 1 species
AGAACUUAGCAGAGAUGCUUUGGUGCCUUCGGGAACUCUGAGACAGGUGCUGCAUGGCUGUCGUCAGCUCGUGUUGUGAAAUGUUGGGUUAAGUCCCGCAACGAGCGCAACCCUUAUCCUUUGUUGCCAGCGGUUAGGCCGGGAACUCAAAGGAGACUGCCAGUGAUAAACUGGAGGAAGGUGGGAUGACGUCAAGUCAUCAUGGCCCUUACGAGUAGGGCUACACACGUGCUACAAUGGCGCAUACAAAGAGAAGCGACCUCGCGAGAGCAAGCGGACCUCAUAAAGUGCGUCGUAGUCCGGAUUGGAGUCUGCAACUCGACUCCAUGAAGUCGGAAUCGCUAGUAAUCGUGGAUCAGAAUGCCACGGUGAAUACGUUCCCGGGCCUUGUACACACCGCCCGUCACACCAUGGGAGUGGGUUGCAAAAGAAGUAGGUAGCUUAACCUUCGGGAGGGCGCUUACCACUUUGUGAUUCAUGACUGGGGUGAAGUCGUAACAAGGUAAGCGUAGAUGA